rnacentral:rRNA from 1 species
GAGGCAUGUGCACGCCUGCCAUCGUUUUCAACCACCUGUGCACCUUUUG